CUACAGAGGGUGCGAGCGUUAAUCGGAAUUACUGGGCGUAAAGCGCGCGUAGGCGGCUACUUAAGUCAGAUGUGAAAUCCCCGGGCUCAACCUGGGAACUGCAUCUGAUACUGGGUAGCUAGAGGUUUGGAGAGGGAAGUAGAAUUUCAGGUGUAGCGGUGAAAUGCAUAGAGAUCUGAAGGAAUACCAGUGGCGAAGGCGACUUCCUGGCCAAAAACUGACGCUGAGGUGCGAAAGCGUGGGUAGCAAACGGGAUUAGAUACCCCAGUAGUCC
rnacentral:rRNA from 1 species